rnacentral:rRNA from 1 species
AGUGAACGCUGGCGGCGUGCUUAACACAUGCAAGUCGAACGAGAACGGACUUAAGCUUGCUUAAGUUGUCAGCUAAGUGGCGCACGGGUGAGUAAUAUAUAGGUAAUGUGCCCUAGAGAAGAGGAUAACAUUUGGAAACGAAUGCUAAUACUCUAUAUGCCUUUAAAACAUAAGUUUGCAAGGGAAAUAUUUAUAGCUCUAGGAUCGGCCUGUACGGUAUCAGUUAGUUGGUGAGGUAAUGGCUCACCAAGACGAUGACGCCUAACUGGUUUGAGAGGAUGAUCAGUCACACUGGAACUGAGACACGGUCCAGACUCCUACGGGAGGCAGCAGUGGGGAAUAUUGCACAAUGGGGGAAACCCUGAUGCAGCAACGCCGCGUGGAGGAUGACACAUUUCGGUGCGUAAACUCCUUUAUAUAGGAAGAUAAUGACGGUACUAUA